ACCAGCUGUGCAGGUUACCAACCUUCAUCCUUGGAGCUGUUAGGGCUGGCUCUGAUUUUGAAGCCCCUGUAGAACAGAAAUUCCCCUGAAUUCCCCUGCAGAGACACUGAUGUGGCCCAGCUCUGGUUCAGCUCACACAAAGUUAAGCCCACUUUGUACUUUUCUAACAAAACAUCAAAGUUCCAGAUAGUUCAGGAAAGGCUGACAUUGCCAAGUGUAAGAGAAAAUUUUGUCCCUAAGGACCAAAAAUUUGUCAUGGACAGUGCAGCAAGAGUAUGAAAAUGUUCCUGCCUGCUUUCCCUUGUACUGUGGAUGCUCCUACCUGGAUGCUUGCUCUCUCCUUGCAGAACAGUGGUAGUAGCCUGGUGAACUGCCCUUCAGCUGCCAUCCACUCUGCUCUGAGCCAAGCACCUCCUGGAAAAUCAUGCCCUGACUUGGCUCUGCCAUGUGCAUUCUUCCUGCUGACAUGUGAUGUGAUUUGACUUGGGCUCUUGGAAACCUGUAAAUCAUCUCAAGCACCAUUGGUUAAAAGGGUUCACCGUGGAGA